GAUGAACGCUGGCGGCGUGCCUAAUACAUGCAAGUCGAGCGAACGGACGAGAAGCUUGCUUCUCUGAUGUUAGCGGCGGACGGGUGAGUAACACGUGGAUAACCUACCUAUAAGACUGGGAUAACUUCGGGAAACCGGAGCUAAUACCGGAUGAUAUUUUGAACCGCAUGGUUCAAAAGUGAAAGACGGUCUUGCUGUCACUUAUAGAUGGAUCCGCGCUGCAUUAGCUAGUUGGUAAGGUAACGGCUUACCAAGGCAACGAUGCAUAGCCGACCUGAGAGGGUGAUCGGCCACACUGGAACUGAGACACGGUCCAGACUCCUACGGGAGGCAGCAGUAGGGAAUCUUCCGCAAUGGGGGAAAGCCUGACGGAGCAACGCCGCGUGAGUGAUGAAGGUCUUCGGAUCGUAAAACUCUGUUAUUAGGGAAGAACAUAUGUGUAAGUAACUGUGCACAUCUUGACGGUACCUAAUCAGAAAGCCACGGCUAACUACGUG
rnacentral:rRNA from 1 species